rnacentral:lncRNA from 1 species
CAUAGGAUGUGUUUUAUUAUGAUACUUUCCUUAUACAAUCAUGAUUGAUAUCUAUUCCUAGUUGAAACCCUUGUAAUGUUCAUUGUAUUGAUUGCGACGCCUAGGACGUACAGAGAAAACUCUGUCCGUUCGGCGGUCUGUCGACGCGCCCGAACUCGGCCAAAUAGGCGGGGGCCCGAGGCGUGACACAUCCUUUUUUAGGACGUCGUUCGAUUUUGACCGUUCAUUUUAUACCUACUUGAUGAACUUUAUUAUGAUUUCGAAAAUUUACGAAAUUUAUUUUCUAGAAGUUUCAAAUACUCUAAAUCAUAUUUAACGGAGUGGAUCAUCGAUUCGGAAGCUCCAUCAUUAAAAACAACUUAUGAGUACGAAGGCUCCAAUACUCAUAAUAGUAUAGUAGCCAUGGCCUAUGUAAUAAAUU